GUUUGAUCCUGGCUCAGGACGAACGCUGGUGGCGGGCCUAACACAUGCAAGUCGAACGAGGCUUUCCGGUGCUUGCACUGGAAAAUCGAGUGGCGAACGGGUGAGUAAUACAUGAGAAACCUGCCUUGGAGACGGGGACAACCUCGGGAAACUGAGGCUAAUACCCGAUAUCCCUGCCGAGUCGCAUGACUUGGCAAGAAAAUACUCAGGUGCUCCAAGAGGGUCUCAUGCCCUAUCAGCUUGUUGGUGAGGUAAAAGCUCACCAAGGCUUAGACGGGUAGCUGGUCUGAGAGGACGAUCAGCCACACUGGGACUGAGACACGGCCCAGACUCCUACGGGAGGCAGCAGUGGGGAAUCUUGCGCAAUGGGCGAAAGCCUGACGCAGCCACGCCACGUGUGGGACGACGGCCCUCGGGUUGUAAACCACUUUCAGCAGGGACGAAAAUGACGGUACCUGCAGAAGAAGCCCCGGCCAACUACGUGCCAGCAGCCGCGGUAACACGUAGGGGGCGAGCGUUGUCCGGAUUUAUUGGGCGUAAAGGGCUCGUAGGCGGCUUGACAAGUCGACCGUGAAAACCCAGGGCUCAACCCUGGGAAGCCGGUCGAUACUGUCAUGGCUAGGGUCCGGUAGAGGGGAAUGGAAUUCCGGUGUAGCGGUGAAAUGCGCAGAUAUCGGGAGGACACCCAGUGCGAAGGCGGCUCCCUGGGCCGCACCGACGCUGAGGAGCGAAAGCGUGGGGAGCAAACAGAUUAGAUACCCUGGUAGU
rnacentral:rRNA from 1 species